AUUGGAUGUGUGCUGCAUGCCAACAUAUAAAUUUCAAGAAAAGGGAUGCAUGCCAACGAUGCAGCUGCCCUAAAUAUGCAACGCCGGCUGAUGUUGCCAUGUAUGGACUAAACAAAACAGAAGUCUUAGCCGGAGACUGGUAUUGCAGUGCCAUGAACUGUGGUUCUCACAACUAUGCGAGUCGAACAAACUGCUAUAGAUGUGGUGCCUUAAAAAGCGAUUAUUAUGGGAUUGGGGCAGGAAUGAUGGCAUCAACAGGUUAUGGAUAUGAUGCAAGUUCUGUUCCUGGCUGGAAGAGUGGUGAUUGGAUAUGCAGCGGGUUAGUUCACAUUUACUUACAUUUUCCAUGCAGUUCACUUACUCUAUAACAACUAUGGCUCAAUCCCGAGCAAAAUAGGCUUAACUGUAUGAAUCCUAAAUGUUCAUGUCUCUCCAUUUAAGCUCAUCUGACUAAUAUUGCAACAACAACAACACCACCUAUGCCUCAAUCUGAAGCAAGUUGGGGUCGGUUAUAUGAAUCUUCAUUAAUCUUAUCGCUCAAUCUUAACUCAUCUCAUACCAGUAUUGUACAAAUAAAAAUUAAAAAGUACUAGAA
rnacentral:lncRNA from 1 species